UGAAACAAGGGGAAGGGCUCACAUAGAGGCAGCAGUAGAGAAUCUUGUGCAAUGCACGAAAGUAUGACACAGAGAGGACACAUUUAUUUGAGCCCGUCAAAUUAAGUGCCAGCCGACGCGGUUAGACUUAAGGGCUGGUCUUUAUAAGUAAAAAGGCGUAAAGGAUGUGUAGGCCAAGAAAUUAUCAAAGAAGGUAAAUGGAAUUUUUCUGGAGCGGUAGAAUGUGAGGAUAGAAAAUAGAACACCUAAGGUUAAAACUAUUUACCACAAAAUAGGCUGAAACAUGAAAGUGUGGGGAGCAAACAGGAUUAGAGACCCUGGUAGUCCACACUGUGAACUCUGAAGAUGAUGCUUAGCAGACCCGAAAGGUAAAAUCUUCCGCCUGAGUAGUACGAUCGCAAGAUUAAAAUUCAAAAACUUUGGCUGUUCACUAUUUCGAUUAGAGGAGCGUGUAGUUUAAUUCGAUGGUCCGCGUGUUACCUUACCUCAGCUUGAAUCUAUGACCGGUAUUGCAUGGCCGUCGUAAGUCCGUGUGUUAAGCUAGAAGGGACCCAAUCCGGGCGUUUGCCCGAAGGAAGUCAGGUCUUAUGAUCCGAAUGUUGAGGGAUUAUAUGCGCUACAUUUUCUUAUAUAAUGAGAGACUUGAAAGGUAAGCCUCUAAAGUAAGAGUUCGGAAGGUCGCUGUAAAACGACUGGAAGUUGGAUUUAAUAGUAAUCGGAAAGUAGAGCGUUCCGGUGAAUUGGUACAAGUGUUAGCACAAAUUGCCCGUCACCUUUACCUAGGAUGGUUAUUCGGACGCCUUCGGUGGUUACGAAAGCC
rnacentral:rRNA from 1 species